CAUUAUACCGUGAAACUGCGAAUGGCUCAUUAAAUCAGUUAUCGUUUAUUUGAUAGUACCUUACUACUUGGAUAACCGUGGUAAUUCUAGAGCUAAUACAUGCUGAAAACCCCAACUUCGGGAGGGGUGUAUUUAUUAGAUAAAAAACCAACGCCCUUCGGGGCUUCUUGGUGAUUCAUGAUAACUUUACGGAUCGCAUGGCCUUGCGCCGGCGACGGUUCAUUCAAAUUUCUGCCCUAUCAACUUUCGAUGGUAAGGUAUUGGCUUACCAUGGUUUCAACGGGUAACGGGGAAUUAGGGUUCGAUUCCGGAGAGGGAGCCUGAGAAACGGCUACCACAUCCAAGGAAGGCAGCAGGCGCGCAAAUUACCCAAUCCCGACACGGGGAGGUAGUGACAAUAAAUACUGAUACAGGGCUCUUUUGGGUCUUGUAAUUGGAAUGAGUACAAUUUAAACCUCUUAACGAGGAACAAUUGGAGGGCAAGUCUGGUGGACAUUCAGCUCCCACUUUGCUGACGCCAGAGAUAGUCGGGCAUCUUUCGAGGUGUUACGCCGGCUAGUCGAUGUACCUACUAAAAUGAUGGGGAGGUACCGGCAAGACAACCUGGAUCGGGGAAGGCUAAGGCAU
rnacentral:rRNA from 1 species